CUUCAGUAGCUAGAAGUUCGAACUAUGGAAUUAGCCCAUCACUUCAACGGGGAGGUUCAGGAGAUUGAGGAUGUUAAUUUCAGUGAGUCUGAGCUAAUUUAUCAUGUCAGGGAUGCUCUUAUUUCGGUCCAAUCGGUGCACUCCUCCAGUUGCUGGCUCUGGUGGGUUUAAGAAGAUUUUCUUCUUUUUCGUUUAAAUCCUUAAUGGGUUCAUGCUGAAACAAUCGAAUUUUAUCCCUCUCUUGGUGAUUCACAGUAUUGAUGCAAAAUUCUGAUAACUGAGUUUUGCAUUGAUUGAGUGUUCUGUUCGACGUAAUCAAGAAAUUAUUGUAAUCAUUGCUUCCUUAUUUAAUCGCUUUAUGCAACACUGCGUGUGUAAGCAAGGGCUUGUCUUUAUUUAUAACUAUUCAAUUCUUGUUGUGUUUUAACACUUGAAUUUGUUUGGUAGCAUCACUCUCUCGAUGUUAAUUGCCCUCGUCACGAGGGUAUAUACACCAUUCAACCACAAGAGCAUGUGAUCAUUGUCCUUUUGGUUUUGGUUAUAUUUUAAUCACAUUUGGAUAGCUAGUACUUGAUCAUGGUGUGUAGAAUUUCUUUAGGUGUUCUUUUUCGAUGCUUGGAAAUAUUCA